CCCCUCUCAGGAUGGCACCUGGAGAGUUUGCAGUAUUCUACCAGUCUUGACUAUGGGAGGGAGAGUCAAGCAGAAGCAUACCCAUUUCAUUCCUAGCUUGGGCAGUGGCUAGUGAGUGGAAGACAAUAUGCUACAAAU
rnacentral:snoRNA from 1 species